GGGGGUGAACUGGUCUCGACGGAGAGAGUUGAGCAAAAGGAGCAUGCAGGGGUUGGUUACAGCACCUCUUCAAAACGUUGUGUCAGCCAGAAGUGGCAACCAAAAACUUAACGCUCUCGCUGCCUAAUUAAGCACAGAGCCGGUGACUUGGGUGUGGCAGCACGUGCAUUCAAAAUCGCCGUUAAUUUACGUGCGGGCAAUCUUCAACUUCUGUUCGGAGUUGAGUUUACCUAGCAAUCGAACUGGCUUGUUUGGUAGGGUGUCUUUCCCCGGCUAGCAAGUGAGAUCUAAUGACAGAAGAAGCAUGUGGCGCCAAUUGUGAUUCCUUUUCGGACCCGGGUUCGAUCCCCGGCACCUCCACCA
rnacentral:tmRNA from 1 species